GCGAACGCUGGCGGCAUGCUUAGCACAUGCAAGUCGCACGGGUAGGUUUCGGCCUAUUAGUGGCGGACGGGUGAGUAACGCGUAGGGAUUUAUCGUUGGGUGGGGGAUAACCUUGGGAAACUGGGGCUAAUACCGCAUGACGCCUGUGGGCCAAAGCUGAGGCGCCUGACGAGGAACCUGCGUUCGAUUAGCUAGUUGGUGGGGUAAAGGCCUACCAAGGCUGCGAUCGAUAGCUGGUCUGAGAGGAUGAUCAGCCACACUGGGACUGAGACACGGCCCAGACUCCUACGGGAGGCAGCAGUGGGGAAUAUUGGACAAUGGGCGCAAGCCUGAUCCAGCAAUGCCGCGUGGAUGAAGAAGGUUUUCGGAUUGUAAAGUCCUUUCGGCGGGGACGAUGAUGACGGUACCCGCAGAAGAAGCCCCGGCUAACUUCGU
rnacentral:rRNA from 1 species